GGUUAAGCGACUAAGCGUACACGGUGGAUGCCCUGGCAGUCAGAGGCGAUGAAGGACGUGCUAAUCUGCGAUAAGCGUCGGUAAGGUGAUAUGAACCGUUAUAACCGGCGAUUUCCGAAUGGGGAAACCCAGUGUGAUUCGUCACACUAUCAUUAACUGAAUCCAUAGGUUAAUGAGGCGAACCGGGGGAACUGAAACAUCUAAGUACCCCGAGGAAAAGAAAUCAACCGAGAUUCCCCCAGUAGCGGCGAGCGAACGGGGAGCAGCCCAGAGCCUGAAUCAGUGUGUGUGUUAGUGGAAGCGUCUGGAAAGGCGCGCGAUACAGGGUGACAGCCCCGUACACAAAAAUGCACAUGCUGUGAGCUCGAUGAGUAGGGCGGGACACGUGGUAUCCUGUCUGAAUAUGGGGGGACCAUCCUCCAAGGCUAAAUACUCCUGACUGACCGAUAGUGAACCAGUACCGUGAGGGAAAGGCGAAAAGAACCCCGGCGAGGGGAGUGAAAAAGAACCUGAAACCGUGUACGUACAAGCAGUGGGAGCACGCUUAGGCGUGUGACUGCGUACCUUUUGUAUAAUGGGUCAGCGACUUAUAUUCUGUAGCAAGGUUAACCGAAUAGGGGAGCCGAAGGGAAACCGAGUCUUAACUGGGCGUUAAGUUGCAGGGUAUAGACCCGAAACCCGGUGAUCUAGCCAUGGGCAGGUUGAAGGUUGGGUAACACUAACUGGAGGACCGAACCGACUAAUGUUGAAAAAUUAGCGGAUGACUUGUGGCUGGGGGUGAAAGGCCAAUCAAACCGGGAGAUAGCUGGUUCUCCCCGAAAGCUAUUUAGGUAGCGCCUCGUGAAUUCAUCUCCGGGGGUAGAGCACUGUUUCGGCAAGGGGGUCAUCCCGACUUACCAACCCGAUGCAAACUGCGAAUACCGGAGAAUGUUAUCACGGGAGACACACGGCGGGUGCUAACGUCCGUCGUGAAGAGGGAAACAACCCAGACCGCCAGCUAAGGUCCCAAAGUCAUGGUUAAGUGGGAAACGAUGUGGGAAGGCCCAGACAGCCAGGAUGUUGGCUUAGAAGCAGCCAUCAUUUAAAGAAAGCGUAAUAGCUCACUGGUCGAGUCGGCCUGCGCGGAAGAUGUAACGGGGCUAAACCAUGCACCGAAGCUGCGGCAGCGACGCUUAUGCGUUGUUGGGUAGGGGAGCGUUCUGUAAGCCUGUGAAGGUGUACUGUGAGGUAUGCUGGAGGUAUCAGAAGUGCGAAUGCUGACAUAAGUAACGAUAAAGCGGGUGAAAAGCCCGCUCGCCGGAAGACCAAGGGUUCCUGUCCAACGUUAAUCGGGGCAGGGUGAGUCGACCCCUAAGGCGAGGCCGAAAGGCGUAGUCGAUGGGAAACAGGUUAAUAUUCCUGUACUUGGUGUUACUGCGAAGGGGGGACGGAGAAGGCUAUGUUGGCCGGGCGACGGUUGUCCCGGUUUAAGCGUGUAGGCUGGUUUUCCAGGCAAAUCCGGAAAAUCAAGGCUGAGGCGUGAUGACGAGGCACUACGGUGCUGAAGCAACAAAUGCCCUGCUUCCAGGAAAAGCCUCUAAGCAUCAGGUAACAUCAAAUCGUACCCCAAACCGACACAGGUGGUCAGGUAGAGAAUACCAAGGCGCUUGAGAGAACUCGGGUGAAGGAACUAGGCAAAAUGGUGCCGUAACUUCGGGAGAAGGCACGCUGAUAUGUAGGUGAAGUCCCUCGCGGAUGGAGCUGAAAUCAGUCGAAGAUACCAGCUGGCUGCAACUGUUUAUUAAAAACACAGCACUGUGCAAACACGAAAGUGGACGUAUACGGUGUGACGCCUGCCCGGUGCCGGAAGGUUAAUUGAUGGGGUCAGCGCAAGCGAAGCUCUUGAUCGAAGCCCCGGUAAACGGCGGCCGUAACUAUAACGGUCCUAAGGUAGCGAAAUUCCUUGUCGGGUAAGUUCCGACCUGCACGAAUGGCGUAAUGAUGGCCAGGCUGUCUCCACCCGAGACUCAGUGAAAUUGAACUCGCUGUGAAGAUGCAGUGUACCCGCGGCAAGACGGAAAGACCCCGUGAACCUUUACUAUAGCUUGACACUGAACAUUGAGCCUUGAUGUGUAGGAUAGGUGGGAGGCUUUGAAGUGUGGACGCCAGUCUGCAUGGAGCCGACCUUGAAAUACCACCCUUUAAUGUUUGAUGUUCUAACGU
rnacentral:rRNA from 1 species